rnacentral:misc_RNA from 1 species
GCGGUAUUGCCGGCGACUUCACCUAUUAUAGAAAUAGGGAGAAAAAAGUCAAAUAACUUGGCUCAAAGUGUAAACCACACAGGUAUUAUAUGAUGGGUCAUAACCAAUCAACAAACUUGGUAAGAGUUUCAUUCAAUGACUUAAAAACCAUAUAUCAUUUUCACAAAGUUAUUGGAUCCUACCAGCAUCAUAAGAGCUCAGUAUAGUUCAUCAGGGAAUGUUGCUGAUAGGAAAAUGAAAUACCUAUGAGCAAGUGCCAAGUCUAUAACUAAACUAAGUUAGAAAAUAUUGUAUGAACUUUUAAACUGGACUUGUGUGUCCUUAAAAUGCUAGCAAACUUUUCAGAACAUAUAUAAUCUGCAGCCAUGUUCAACAACAACACAAUCCCUGCACCACAAGGAUAAGAAAGGGGGUGGAAGAGAAGAGAAAAGAAAGUAGAAAGCCUCGGUAUCUCUUCAAGAUUGUCAUGAAAGUUACGCAAUUCAAAUGAAAAUUAAAGUACAAACCUGGUUCUUGUUAGCAUCA